AUGAUGCUGGCUGUGGUCAGAAUGCAUUGUGACAGGGCUUACUCUUUCUCACUUCAGUGUGAAGGACACAGAAUAUUUUCUGAUGAAUUGUUACCAAAUGAUUGCAGUGCAAAUCCUGUGAUGUAUAACUGUAGCCUUGAGACCCUACAUCUCAAUGACAGGCAACCUCUGGUCCUUGCCUGUGGGAUACUUGCUGCAGGAGCUGCAUCCAGGGUCUCCACACCACCACAUACCUCUCUGUUGCAUACCCUUCACUUCUCCCACUCCACACAUUUGAAGAAUGGCUUUGAUGACGACAUUACAACUGUUAUCAAGUUGUUGUUCUGCUCAGACAGAAGGUCCAAAAGAAGUGAGUGAAUCUUUGAAGUGGAGAGUUCAGCCUUUCCUCCCUGUGCACUGGAUUUAAUACCAAACAAAACUGCAAAUUGAGGUGUUCUUCAUGUUGUAUUUUAGCUUGCAGCUAGGCCUGAUACAUAACAAAGAAACUGCCAAAGUCUAUCUGAGAAGUCUUAAGACAGUCUCUCAAAUCUGAGUCAUUUCAAUUUCAUCAUGAAAUCUUAAACCGCAUAAGUUUCAUUUAACAGCUGACCCUGAUGUAAACACAACUGAUAAAAGGUGGGGAAAAAAGGGUAUUUCAGUUUCAAAAGUAAGAGAACAGUUAUCUGCAAAGCAGGAAACAUCCAGAAAUGAUGGAUCACUAUAUGGUAGUUAAUAAUAAGUCAUGGUAGAUGUGGUUUAGCAAGCUGAAUUAGAUAUCCAUUAUCAUGUGACCAUUACCUCUAUUUCUGUGUGACAGAAAAAGGAAAACUUGGAAAAAAUUACUGUGAAUACAAGGCCAAUUAAGUGCAACGUAGGAUUUGAGUAAACAAAAUGUUUGCAUACGGCCACACUCUGGAUAUCGUUGUAUUAUCUUGUAGAACAACGAAAGAGACUUUGAUAGAACACUGAGAAAUAACACACUGCUUCCCAGUUAGUAAACAUGACGGUAAUUGUAAUAUCUUAGUUAUUAAUUGGCAUUCCUAUGCUUGCACACAGGUGUUUGUAAUGGAACACAGGCUAGGACUGAUAGUGCUGUAGGUGUUAGUUCUAAGUUUAGAUCACAAAAAUCCAUAACAACAAAGACAAAAGUCUUUUAAAGAAUCAUAUUUAUAAAGCUUAUGAAUUAAUAUGCUGACUGGGACUCGCUUCUGACAGGCCCAGCACAUUAGGUUCAGAUAUACUGGCACGAUCAAGUCUAUCAGGAGCCUGAAAGUCUCUGAGAACAUUCAGAAUGACGUUUGGGAUAACGACAAUGAAUUUGGGCCAGGUCCUUCAUAUGCCCAUUUGCUGUUCUAUAUUUUUGGCUCCAAAUGUGUGC
rnacentral:lncRNA from 1 species